UUGGUUAAUCUUGGGGUACUAGAUACUUGUAGACCCUUGAGAGGAUCUAUAGAGAGCUUUGGAUUGUCAGAUAUCUUGGGUAACUUUUAAUAUUGAUUUGAUUCUGUAGGGGAACAAUCUAUUGGACGAGAGGACGCUGAGCAGAGUCCUGCGCAUUCCGGUUCAUAGAUCGCCGUGAGGGCGGGUGAUUAGUUGUCUGAGUUUUCAAUAAAGGGUAAGGAUCCUUGUACGCCAAUCCUGCAUGAUAUAAUAUUUUUAUACUUAGAUAUGUAUGAUAUGCUAUGAUCCAGACAAAUCAAAAAUAGCUUUAUAUUAAAUUAUAUUUUGAUCGUGUUGGUUUGUGGUUGAUAUUAUGAUCGUAUUCGCUUGUGGUUGGUAUCAUGAUGGAUGCAUGCAUGCGCAUAACCUACACCUACAUAAUUGGACUGAUGGAUGUGGUGCUCUAAACUAACCAUGUGAUAUUGGUUGCCCCGUCACGGGCUGGAAACGUGACCGUGGUUAGUUUAAAGCCGAAAAUAAAUAAAAAAAGGAAUUGAUGUGUGGAUGUAAACUGGAUUGCAUGAAAAGGGACUUUGGGUUUAUCUUGUUAUUAUGGCAGGCCCCGUCACAGGCUAAAAAUGUGGUACUUUGGUAGGCCCCCUCACAGGCUAGAAAUGUGGAACUAUAAUGUGCAGGCCCCGCCACAGGCUGAAAAUGUGAUACUUUGGUAGGCCCCCUCACAGGCUAGAAAUGUGGAACUAUAAUGU
rnacentral:lncRNA from 1 species